CACCAGUCUCCCGCCGUGAGACCCUUGGUGUCUCUGUCUUGACAAUCUGUGCCGUUCGAUACCACCCGCGGCCUCAGAGCACAGGUUUCAAACACCUCAUAUCAGAAAUAAUUUAAAACGUCUCAGUCAUGUUUACAUUUAUUACGUAUUGAAAUGACAAUAUUUUGGAUAUAUUAGGUUAAGUAAAAUACGUUAUUAAAGUUAAUUUCACCCGUUUCUUUUUACUUUCUUAAGUACUAUGGCUAGAAAAUUUAAAUGACAUGCGCGGUUCACGGGACGUUGGCUGGGCACCAUGAUCUGAGUGAGUCUCUGGUUGGUUCUCUGCCCGCUCUGGAUCCCAGGCUCUGCCUAUUGCGCAGCCCAGCCCUGCCACCGGGACUGGCUGACCUCUGGGCCUGUGCGUGGGGUCAGGUGGUCAGAGGCCUGGGGGUUGUGCUCGACUCGCAGCCCCUCAAUGCAAGUGAAGGAACGGCCCAGGGAGGACCCCUGACCGCCCGAGGGCCCCGGCCUGAGCCCAGAUCUGAGUCGGGAUCAGCGAAGGAACUCGGCAAACACGACACACAGGCAGGGCUGACCUUGUCAGGCACCCGCCGUGGGUCAGGCACGACCUCUGCGCAAACCCAUGUGAUCCGAGCGGUAGAUGUGUGGGGCGGACAGCAUCAGCUCUAUGUCUGGGGAAACUGAGGCUCUUGGAGAUUGAGGAGCUCAGCCCGGGUCACAGGGCUCCUCAGUGUCAGAGCCGUGAUUUAAAUAAAAUUUAUUGGACUUCAAAACCUCUCCUUUUCACCUCCAGCUUGUCCAUGAGGAGGCUUCAGCCUGGAGGCAGGAGUGGGGUUCAGGAACUCCUUCCAUAGGGAGGGAAGGGAUGCGUUUCAAACGGGGGACAGGACCCACAUUCUCAGAAGGCAUUCUGAGUCCCUCCACGUGUCUGGUCCACGCGUCACUCCCUGCCAUCUACGGCGGGAAGGGCCACCCGGGUUCGCCAAGGCCGCCCAGGGGUGCACAGUGCGGCUGCGCUUUGAGGCCAGGACUCCCGGACCGUGACACUUCCGCCAUUCAGGUGAUGACCUGUUUCAACGGGGCUGGAGAAGCCUGGAUUCCCAGGGCAGCCGCUCGAAACUGGGCCCUCGAGCUGUGGGUCCCAAGGCCCUGGGCUCUGGGGCCGAUGAGGAGGACAGACCAUUUUAUUGCCACCUGCUCUGUAAUUAAUGACUUAACGACCUUUUGAGAGGCAAAAGGAGCCCUUGACAGCCUCUCAGGGCAUGACCCCGAGGAGAGCUGAGUCUGCGUGCCCUGUGGACUCGGGUGGGCGUACUCACUGCCAGGACCUGCUCUGCUCUCCCAUCUUCGUGGCUCCUCCUCUCUUGGGCCUGGGGAUCACCAUGGGGGACCUGUGGCCGAAAGCAGACACCUCCCGCUGCAGCUGGGGCUGGCGCUGGCACUCAGGAUGCUGUCUGCCGUGGCGAGGGAUGGCACCGAUCCUAGGUCCCUCCUGUCCAGCCUGAAGGCCAUUACACCCCGGCUCUGAGGGCCCUCCCUGCUGGGUUCACGCACAGUCACAAGGUCCUUCCUGGGACACACUCCCCUCGGGGGCCUGCCCCAGAGGCCGGGUCCAGGCACAGCUGGUCAGCUUCCAAGCUGCACUUGAGCUCUGCCCUUGCUUUGUGCCUGGUCUGCGGUGUCCUCCCCCACUUUCCGUCUCUGGGCUCAGUGUCGUCAUCCACAGGAUGGAGAUGGUCCUUCCCGCUCCACGGACUGAGGAAGGUUAAGUAAGGUCAUCCAUGAAAUGCCGGGCAAGCCGGUGCUCUCCACACCUGCCGGUUCUCCAAGGUCAGCUCCCACCCCAUCUUCUCCUCCGGGAGAGCCCCCCACCCCCAUCCUCAGAGAGGUAGCCUGCGCUCACUGGGGAGGGGGCAGCGUAUCCAUCCCCCAACAGCCCAUGGGCCCACCCUUCCGCUCUAGGACUGAUUUUUGGCCACACUCCCUUUAACCUUUCCAAGUAGCGAUUUUGACGAUUUUUUAUCAAAAUGGUACAUGAUUAUUACAAAAAUUCAGACAGCACAGAAGUCUGCAAAGUAGAAAGCGAUGAAUCACCCCAGCUCCCACCACCCAGAAAUAAGCAACCUAGAUACGGGUUGACCGUUGGCCCUGACCUGUCUGUAAGCAUAAAUACAGAUGGACUGGUAGGCGGACGAUAGAUAAACAGAAAUAGCUGUAAAAGAAUGGGAUCAUAUGUCACAUGCUUUUAAAACAUGAAAAAGUUAAGUUUGUUUGUACUUACAUAUAACAGAAAAAACUGAAGGCGUUAUUCUACCUUGGAUAAAUUUUUCUCAACCACAGAGGCAGCUGUACCUCUAAGAUCCCCCUACAGAUAAGAAGAUUAAUUAUUUUUGAAAAUCAGAGGUGACAUUUGUCGUAGACGGACGGCUGAGCCCUCGAGAGAACGGGCAGAAGUCUGAGGAGAACCUGAGUUCUUCCUCCUGGAAGGACUUCUUUCCUCUGCCUGGAAGCCUGAAAAUUGCUCUAUGCUUUGAAGUUCAGUAACUUAAACAGGCUGCGUUUCAGAGAUGCUCUCUCUGUCUGUGUCUUGCUGGUUUGCCACAUGCCCUUCCCAUCAGUAAAUUCAGCCCUUCCUUUAUUUAAGGGAAAAUGCUUCUGUGCAGAAUCCAUAAAUAUCUUUUCUGCUUCCUUUGUGUGGUUCUCUACUUUAGGGAUGUUAAUCAUUCUUGUAUUCGCUGAUCUUUGCUUAUUUUCGUUUUGUCCUCCAAACCCAUUAUCUUCUCUCUAAUUGCUUUUCUCUCUCUUUUUCUCAGCAUCAGGAUGAUUUCAAGCCUUUUCUUGGUGGCGUUCUAUUUUUAUUCUUGUUUGUUGUUGCUCCUAAAUUAUUUGUUAGAUAAGGAACUGUAUUUAGUUCUCAAUUUGUUUUCCUAACCUGCAAUCUCUUUCCAUCUCCUUCCGUGUUGUUAUGUCUGGUCGUUGAGUUCACAUUGUAUCAACAUACUCUCUCAAACAAGAAACACCAGUGAGGACUUUGUUUCUGUUUCCACUUUAGCUUUUCUUCCAGACUGGAUUCUUCACCACGAUUUUUCAUGCCGUGGCCCUUCCUUCCCGUCUCCCUGCCCCCAGAGCAGAUUCUCAUAGUUGCUGUGCUAUUUCUUUUUUGUGUUGCUCAUGCUAAUGUGAGCAGCUGUCCACACCCUCUGUUAGCUCCGAUAUAACGCCGAUGAAUCACUUCCAUCUCGUAGUGUUCCCUGGGUUGCCUCAUGCAUGGAAAUCUUGCCCUCGUGCCUGCAGCAUCCCAGAGACAAGGACCAUGCUUCCUUCUUCUCCAGUCCCUGGGACGCUGCUGGACACAGCUGGACGCCUGAGUCUGACCAGAAGGAUGCGGAGUUGGGGCUGUUUUAAGCUUUCAAGUCCUGAAACACUUUUUUUUUUUUUUUAUAAUUACAGAGGAUUCUCCACAGCAGUUCUGGGAGCUUCGUGAGGACAAAACAAGAGAAGAUGUGUUUAAAUUACUAGAGAAACUGAGCUCACUCAAAAAAUAUCACUUGCGAAAUUCCAAGAGUUUGCCUGCCACUAACUAGUUUUAAAGGAGCAAAAACCUUGGGGUAAUUUCAGUGGGGGAGGGGGUUUGGUUUAUCCCAUCCUCUCGGGGUUCAGAGCUGCACACCUCACAUCCGCCCUGUCGGGAAAAGCGAUCUUGAAUAACUCCAACAAACACCACUGUUUCUUGCAAACCUACUCAGUGCCCGGCUCUUCACACUGGUCCUCUCAAAACCAUCCUACAAGGCAGUUCUCACGCAUCUCCUCUUGUAGACGAGGAAACGGAAGUUGAGAAGAGCAGCCGAAAAGCAGAAGUGACCCCCAGGGUCUGCUGAUGGAAAAAUAGACAAACACAAUGUGGUCUAGACCUACAGUGGAAUAGUAUUCAGCCUUGAAAAGGAAGGAAAUUCUGACACGUGCUACAGAUGGAUGAACCGGGAAGACGUGCUCGGUGAAGUAAGCCAGACACAAAAGGACAAACAGCA
ensembl:lncRNA